GACGAACGCUGGCGGCGUGCCUAAUACAUGCAAGUCGAACGGUCUUUUCUAUGGAAGCUUGCUUCCACUGAGAAGAUAGUGGCGAACGGGUGAGUAACACGUGGGUAACCUGCCCAUAAGAGGGGGAUAACAUCCGGAAACGGGUGCUAAUACCGCAUAGUUUUCUUGAUCGCAUGAUUGGGAAAGGAAAGACGGCCUUUGUGCUGUCGCUUAUGGAUGGACCCGCGGCGUAUUAGUUAGUUGGUGAGGUAACGGCUCACCAAGACGAUGAUACGUAGCCGACCUGAGAGGGUGAUCGGCCACAUUGGGACUGAGACACGGCCCAAACUCCUACGGGAGGCAGCAGUAGGGAAUCUUCCGCAAUGGACGAAAGUCUGACGGAGCAACGCCGCGUGAGUGAAGAAGGUUUUCGGAUCGUAAAACUCUGUUGUCAGAGAAGAACAAGUUGGAGAGUAACUGCUCCAGCCUUGACGGUAUCUGACCAGAAAGCCACGGCUAACU
rnacentral:rRNA from 1 species